rnacentral:lncRNA from 1 species
CUGCCACAGGACACGGGGGGGUCCGAAGAAGGGGGGGAUGUUCCAUCUGCCAGCCAACGCAGCCCGGAGCUGCAGCCGGCGGUGGAGGAGGAGGUGCCCCAUCCCAGCACCACGGAGGAUCCCGCUGAGCACCAGGAGAGCAGAAGCCGAGGUGCCCAGGAGGAGCUGCCCACCCCCGGGGAGAGCGAUGCCUCCCCAGGGGGAGCCCCGCAGGCCGCAGCUGAGCCCCCCAGCGCCCGCUCCCCCACCCGUGAGCCUGAGCCCGAUUUCUACUGCGUGAAGUGGAUCACGUGGAAGGGAGAGCGGACGCCCAUCAUCACCCAGAGUGAGAACGGGCCCUGCCCGCUGCUGGCCAUCAUGAACAUCCUCUUCUUGCAGUGGAAGGUGAAGCUGCCCCCGCAGAAGGAGGUGGUGACGUCGGAUGAGCUGAUGGCACAUCUGGGUGAGCGGCAGUGGCGGGGAGCGGUGCUGUCACUGUGGGCUCCUGGGCUGGGUGUGA